UACGAAGGGGGCUAGCGUUGCUCGGAAUGACUGGGCGUAAAGGGCGCGUAGGCGGUUUGUACAGUCAGGUGUGAAAUUCCCGGGCUCAACCUGGGGCUCCACCUGAUACUGCUGUGGCUAGAGUCCGGUAGGGGAGCGUGGAAUUCCUGGUGUAGCGGUGAAAUGCGCAGAUAUCAGGAGGAACACCAGCGGCGAAGGCGGCGCUCUGGGCCGGAACUGACGCUGAGGAGCGAAAGCGUGGGUAGCAAACAGG
rnacentral:rRNA from 1 species